GGGUAUCCGCUAAGGACUUACCUGAUGACCCCUUUACCUCAUCCCUCCAAUGCUGCGGAACAGGCCUAAAAUGAACAUCUAUGUAGACAGACAAGAUUUUGAUGUCGGCAUGUCACUGAUGGAUGCUUUCCUUUCAAGCCCAAUAAGUGAUGUGAACAAGCAACUGUUUCCAUUCGUCUGCCGUCUGCAUAACAUGUGUCUUGAACGUUCCUCUGAUAAAGGAUUUGGUUUGAGACGUGAUGGAAACGGAAGUAAUUAACAACACACCAGUACAGGGAGCAGCAUUUAAUAAGAGACAGCAGCUGAUCAAACUGUUUGAUAAUUUUUUUUUAAUUGGUACAAUUGAUGUAGUUAUUAAUGUUAUUAAGUGAUAGAUUGCUCGAGUCUUCUCUGAAUGCAGGCUAUACUUCUCAGUCAAAUAGCUUAAAGUUGUGUCAUCGCUGGUUUGGAAGGAUUGGUAUUCAUGGUGGUCUAGCCAUAUUUUAGUUACAAAAGCUGAUGUUUGCAUGUUUUAUAAUUUUGGUAUGCAUAAUUUGGCUAAUAUUUACUUCAAGGUUAUAGGUUUGUGAAACAUACAAAUGCCAAUGUUCUGAGUACCAAUAAAUAAGUUAUGUGUUAGAUAUUACCAAGUGCUUGAUUUAAUAAUAAUUUUAAAGGGACCUUUUAACAGAUUUUGGCAGAUAUUUAAGUUUUUCAUGAAAUGCUUGAUAUUGAUAAAUAUAAACAUUAGAUCUAAAAAGCUUUUGUAAAAAAACAAGAAUAAAAUUAAAGAUAGAAAAAAAAGUAACCCUCAACUGGGCUCAAACCACUGGCCUCUGGAGUAAAAGUCUUACAAUUAGACCACUCUGCCAUCUGUGCUCAUACAAUGAGUGAUGUAUUUUAUAAUUUAUAUAAGCAAUCCUCGUCGUGUCACAAAAUAUAACGACAACAACACAACUCUCGAAAUUGUUCAAUUGUAUCACGCUGCAACACUUUAAAAUUUUCAGUUUUUUUAAUCCUCAAAAGAUGCAUAUUAUGGAUAUUGUUGAGAAUGGUAACUGUUCAGUAUUACUGCUUCCUCACAAAUAUCAUAACUUCACGAAAUUUUGCGAAGCUGAAACAUGUACUAAAAUGUGAAUUGGUCCCUUUAAUAUUUAACAAUUAUCUGAGCUCCAGAAAAGAUCAUAUAUACUGAAGGUGUUUUUCCCCAUGAACAAUUUUUCAAGUGAUAUUUUACCCACUGAUCGUUAGCUCUAAUUGGUAUUCUUUGACAGUACUGAAAAUUCUCAAAGCCACAUUAAAAAAGUGGGCUUUUAAAAAUAUUUUUACUUAAUGAUAUAAAAUGUGCUGUCUAUAAAAACGGAUGAUAGUGUCAUGAAAAACUAGAAGAUUACCGGUAUACAAGAUCUUUGCCAAAUGUAUUUACUUAAAUAUACCCCUUUUAUUAUGCUUUGUUCAAUAAUUAAGUCUUCAUCUACCGUUAAAAUAUGUUGUUUACCUGUGCAACUGUUUUGUAAUUUCAUAGACAUUUUUAUCAUAAUAAUGUUGACUUUUUUUGAAAACAGUUGCAAUUACACUAGUAUUCAAUGAAUAAAACAGUACGAACAUU